UACGUAGGCAGCAAGCGUUGUUCGGAGUUACUGGGCGUAAAGGGUGUGUAGGCGGUUGUUUAAGUUUGGUGUGAAAUCUCCCGGCUCAACUGGGAGGGUGCGCCGAAUACUGAAUGACUAGAGUGCGGGAGAGGAAAGUGGAAUUCCUGGUGUAGCGGUGAAAUGCGUAGAUAUCAGGAGGAACACCGGUGGUGUAGGCGGCUUUCUGGACCGUAACUGACGCUGAGACACGAAAGCGUGGGUAGCAAACAGG
rnacentral:rRNA from 1 species